AGCCGCGGCGGCGGGCGGCCAAGGCAUACACACCGACGGACGGACGGACGGACGGACCCACGGACUCCCCGACUCCUCCCUGCUGCUCCUCCGCCCUGCCCCCCCAAAACCACCCUCCAGCGCCAUCGCCGCCCUCCCCCUGCCGUCGAGCCGGGAACAAAGAGCGCUUAGUUGUCACCCCGCGGCGGCCCGGGAGCUCACCACCGACUGACCGGCCUCAAAGUCUGUUUUAACCCCCCCACCCCCACCCCGAGUAGGCAGCACCAGGUGAAGAGGAGGAGGCAGAGAGACAGAGACACCCCCCCCAUCCCCACGCAGAGACACCCCUCCGACCCCCACCUAGCCCAGCCCGCCCGGCCGGCCCGGCCCGAGCACCACCCUGGAGGCAGCCGCAGCAGCAGCCGCCGCCCCCCCGCCGCCGCCGCCGCCGCCCUCCCGCCUGCCCCGGCGCUCCGGAGGCCCGAGGGACGAGUGAGCCAGCCCGAGAGACAGAGCCAGCCAAGUCAUCAGGAACCGAAACCUGCCCACGCUGGUGCCAUCCGUCCUCACUGCCCUGCCCUCUGACACACCCUGCUCGCAGCUG
rnacentral:lncRNA from 1 species